GACGAACGCUGGCGGCGUGCCUAAUACAUGCAAGUCGAGCGAAUGGAUUAAGAGCUUGCUCUUAUGAAGUUAGCGGCGGACGGGUGAGUAACACGUGGGUAACCUGCCCAUAAGACUGGGAUAACUCCGGGAAACCGGGGCUAAUACCGGAUAACAUUUUGAACCGCAUGGUUCGAACUUGAAAGGCGGCUUCGGCUGUCACUUAUGGAUGGACCCGCGUCGCAUUAGCUAGUUGGUGAGGUAACGGCUCACCAAGGCAACGAUGCGUGGCCGACCUGAGAGGGUGAUCGGCCACACUGGGACUGAGACACGGCCCAGACUCCUACGGGAGGCAGCAGUAGGGAAUCUUCCGCAAUGGACGAAAGUCUGACGGAGCAACGCCGCGUGAGUGAUGAAGGCUUUCGGGUCGUAAAACUCUGUUGUUAGGGAAGAACAGGUGCUAGUUGAAUAAGCUGGCACCUUGACGGUACCUAACCAGAAAGCCACGGCUAACUACGUGCCAGCCGCCGCUGUAA
rnacentral:rRNA from 1 species